AUUGAACGCUGGCGGCAUGCCUUACACAUGCAAGUCGAACGGUAACAGGUCUUCGGAUGCUGACGAGUGGCGAACGGGUGAGUAAUACAUCGGAACGUGCCCGAGAGUGGGGGAUAACGAGGCGAAAGCUUUGCUAAUACCGCAUACGAUCUCAGGAUGAAAGCAGGGGACCGCAAGGCCUUGCGCUCACGGAGCGGCCGAUGGCAGAUUAGGUAGGUGGUGGGAUGAAAGCUUACCAAGCCGACGAUCUGUAGCUGGUCUGAGAGGACGACCAGCCACACUGGGACUGAGACACGGCCCAGACUCCUACGGGAGGCAGCAGUGGGGAAUUUUGGACAAUGCGCGCAAGCCUGAUCCAGCCAUGCCGCGUGCAGGAUGAAGGCCUUCGGGUUGUAAACUGCUUUUGUACGGAACGAAAAGACUCCUUCUAAUAAAGGGGGUUCAUGACGGUACCGUAAGAAUAAGCACCGGCUAACUACGUGCCAGCCGCCGCAGUAAAAC
rnacentral:rRNA from 1 species